rnacentral:rRNA from 1 species
GUGGUAGUUAAUACUAUGUCAAUUGGAAUGAGAACAAUUAAAAAGAUUUAACGAGAAACAACUGAAGGGCAAGUCUGGUGCCAGCAGCCGCGGUAAUACCAGCUUCAGAAGCAUGUUAAUGUUGCUGCAGUUAAAACGCUCGUAGUUGGAUGUGCUGGCAGGGGUGAUUUGCUGUGUUGGACGGAAGUUCGAUGCGGCGGGCCUUUGUCAUAACAUUUGGGCCAUUUGUUAAGUCAGGUGGUCCUAAUUUACCUUGAAAAAAUAUUACUGCUCAAAGUAUGUCUUACGACAAUGUGAUUUCAGCAUGGGAUAAUGGAAAACGGGUCUGGGGUAACAGCCGGACCAAUGGUUAAUGAGGACGAUUGUGGAAGUUCAUAUUUACUCGUCAGAGGUGAAAUUCUUGGAUUGUGUAAAGAUGAACCUCAGCGAAGGCAUUCUCCAAGGACGUGCCUGUCAAUCAAGAACGAAAGUAGGGGGAUCGAAGACGAUCAGAUACCGUCGUAGUCUCUACAGUAAACGAUGCCGACUAAGAAUUGGAUAACGUUUUAAGAGUGCCUUUCGCGUGCUCUGAUGACUUCUCCAGCGCUUUACAAGAAAUUAAGAGUUUUUGGGUUCCGGGGGGAGUAUAGUCACAAGGCCGAAACUUAAAGGAAUUGACGGAAGGGCACCACCAGGCGUGGAGCCUGCGGCUUAAUUUGACCCAACACGGGAAAACUUACCAGGUCCAGACAGCGUGAGGAUUGACAGAUUGAAAGCUCUUUCAUGAUUCGUUGGGUGGUGGUGCAUGGCCGUUCUUAGUUGGUGGUGUGAGUUGUCUGGUUGAUUCCGUUAACGAACGAGACCUUUGUUGUAAAAUAGGGGAAAGGAGCUUUUGCGUCAAGGUAUGGCGUUACGUGUUGGGAUCCGAGCAAUCGCCCCGGCACUCUAGCGUCAUGUUGCAUAGCUACUUUCAGUUUCCCUUCUUUACGAGACAAUCAAAGAAAAUCUGAUGGAAGUUAUAGGCAAAAACAGGUCUGUGAUGCCCUUCGAUGUUCUGGGCUGCACGCGCGCUACAAUGAUAAAGUCAACGAGUAUUUUAGCUUGAGAGAAAUCACUGGCAAAUCUUUGAAACUUUAUCGUAUUAUGGAUUGCUGAUUGCAAUUAUUCGGCAUGAAACAGGAAUGCCUAGUAUCGGUGAGUCAUCAGCUUGCCGAGAUUACGUCCCUGCCCUUUGUACACACCGCCCGUCGCUCCUACCGAUUGAAACAUACGGUGAAAUUCUCGGAGAGCUGAGU